GACGAACGCUGGCGGCGUGCUUAACACAUGCAAGUCGAACGAGUGGCGAACGGGUGAGUAACACGUGGGUGAUCUGCCUUGCAAUUCGGGAUAAGCUUGGGAAACUGGGUCUAAUCCCGGAUCGUGCAAGAUGAGCUCGGGGCCUAUCAGCUUGUUGGUGGGGUAAUGGCUACCAAGGCGCGACGGGUAGCCGGCCUGAGAGGGUGACCGGCCACAUUGGGACUGAGAUACGGCCCAGACUCCUACGGGAGGAAGCAGUGUGGGAUAUUUCACAAUGGACGAAAGCCCGAUGCAGCGACGCCGCGUGGGGGAUGAAGUCUGUCGGGUGUUAAACCUCUUGCGCUAUCGAACGGGUAGGUGGAGAAGAAGCGCCGGCUAACUACGUGCCAGCAGCGGCGGUAAUAC
rnacentral:rRNA from 1 species